rnacentral:tRNA from 1 species
CCCUCUGUGGCUCAGUUGGUAGAGCAUGGUGUUUGUAAUGCCAGCAUGGUGUGUGCAACGCCAGGGUUGUGGGUUUGAUUCCCAUGGGGGGC